GGGGCAACCUGGCGACGAGUGGCGAACGGGUGAGUAAUGCAUCGGAACGUGCCCAGUAGUGGGGGAUAGCCCGGCGAAAGCCGGAUUAAUACCGCAUACGACCUACGGGUGAAAGCGGGGGAUCGCAAGACCUCGCGCUAUUGGAGCGGCCGAUGUCAGAUUAGGUAGUUGGUGGGGUAAAGGCCUACCAAGCCUGCGAUCUGUAGCUGGUCUGAGAGGACGACCAGCCACACUGGGACUGAGACACGGCCCAGACUCCUACGGGAGGCAGCAGUGGGGAAUUUUGGACAAUGGGGGAAACCCUGAUCCAGCCAUGCCGCGUGCGGGAAGAAGGCCUUCGGGUUGUAAACCGCUUUUGUCGGGGAAGAAAUCCUCCGGGCUAAUACCCCGGGGGGAUGACGGUACCCGGAGAAUAAGCACCGGCUAACUACGUGCCAGCAGCCGCGGUAAUACGUAGGGUGCAAGCGUUAAUCGGAAUUACUGGGCGUAAAGCGUGCGCAGGCGGUCGUGCAAGACAGAGGUGAAAUCCCCGGGCUUAACCUGGGAACUGCCUUUGUGACUGCACGGCUGGAGUGCGGCAGAGGGGGAUGGAAUUCCGCGUGUAGCAGUGAAAUGCGUAGAUAUGCGGAGGAACACCGAUGGCGAAGGCAAUCCCCUGGGCCUGCACUGACGCUCAUGCACGAAAGCGUGGGGGAGCAAACAGGAUUAGAUACCCUGGUAGUCCACGCCCUAAACGAUGUCAACU
rnacentral:rRNA from 1 species